UACGAAGGGGGCUAGCGUUGCUCGGAAUUACUGGGCGUAAAGGGCGCGUAGGCGGACAGUUUAGUCAGAGGUGAAAGCCCAGGGCUCAACCUUGGAAUUGCCUUUGAUACUGGCUGUCUUGAGUUCGGGAGAGGUGAGUGGAAUGCCGAGUGUAGAGGUGAAAUUCGUAGAUAUUCGGCGGAACACCAGUGGCGAAGGCGACUCACUGGCCCGUUACUGACGCUGAGGCUCGAAAGCGUGGGGAGCAAACAGG
rnacentral:rRNA from 1 species